rnacentral:rRNA from 1 species
GACGAACGCUGGCGGCGUGCUUAACACAUGCAAGUCGAACGGAAAGGCCCUGCUUUUGUGGGGUGCUCGAGUGGCGAACGGGUGAGUAACACGUGAGUAACCUGCCCUUGACUUUGGGAUAACUUCAGGAAACUGGGGCUAAUACCGGAUAGGAGCUCCUGCUGCAUGGUGGGGGUUGGAAAGUUUCGGCGGUUGGGGAUGGACUCGCGGCUUAUCAGCUUGUUGGUGGGGUAGUGGCUUACCAAGGCUUUGACGGGUAGCCGGCCUGAGAGGGUGACCGGCCACAUUGGGACUGAGAUACGGCCCAGACUCCUACGGGAGGCAGCAGUGGGGAAUAUUGCACAAUGGGCGGAAGCCUGAUGCAGCAACGCCGCGUGCGGGAUGACGGCCUUCGGGUUGUAAACCGCUUUCGCCUGUGACGAAGCGUGAGUGACGGUAAUGGGUAAAGAAGCACCGGCUAACUACGUGCCAGCAGCCGCGGUGAUACGUAGGGUGCGAGCGUUGUCCGGAUUUAUUGGGCGUAAAGGGCUCGUAGGUGGUUGAUCGCGUCGGAAGUGUAAUCUUGGGGCUUAACCCUGAGCGUGCUUUCGAUACGGGUUGACUUGAGGAAGGUAGGGGAGAAUGGAAUUCCUGGUGGAGCGGUGGAAUGCGCAGAUAUCAGGAGGAACACCAGUGGCGAAGGCGGUUCUCUGGGCCUUUCCUGACGCUGAGGAGCGAAAGCGUGGGGAGCGAACAGGCUUAGAUACCCUGGUAGUCCACGCUGUAAACGGUGGGUACUAGGUGUGGGGUCCAUUCCACGGGUUCCGUGCCGUAGCUAACGCUUUAAGUACCCCGCCUGGGGAGUACGGCCGCAAGGCUAAAACUCAAAGGAAUUGACGGGGCCCCGCACAAGCGGCGGAGCAUGCGGAUUAAUUCGAUGCAACGCGUAGAACCUUACCUGGGUUUGACAUGGAUCGGGAGUGCUCAGAGAUGGGUGUGCCUCUUUUGGGGUCGGUUCACAGGUGGUGCAUGGCUGUCGUCAGCUCGUGUCGUGAGAUGUUGGGUUAAGUCCCGCAACGAGCGCAACCCUUGUUCACUGUUGCCAGCACGUUAUGGUGGGGACUCAGUGGAGACCGCCGGGGUCAACUCGGAGGAAGGUGGGGAUGACGUCAAGUCAUCAUGCCCCUUAUGUCCAGGGCUUCACGCAUGCUACAAUGGCUGGUACAGAGAGUGGCGAGCCUGUGAGGGUGAGCGAAUCUCGGAAAGCCGGUCUCAGUUCGGAUUGGGGUCAGCAACUCGACUUCAUGAAGUCGGAGUCGCUAGUAAUCGCAGAUCAGCAACGCUGCGGUGAAUACGUUCCCGGGGCU